UACAGAGACUGCAAGCGUUAUUCGGAUUCACUGGGCGUAAAGGGUGCGCAGGCGGCCGUAUGUGUGAGGCGUGAAAGCCCGGGGCUUAACCCCGGAAUUGCGCCUCAAACUAUACGGCUAGAGCAUUGGAGAGGGUAGCAGAAUUCAUGGUGUAGCAGUGAAAUGCGUAGAUAUCAUGAGGAAUACCAGAGGCGAAGGCGGCUACCUGGACAAUUGCUGACGCUCAGGCACGAAAGCGUGGGGAGCAAAAGGG
rnacentral:rRNA from 1 species